UGGCCGGCUUUGCCCGCCCUGCGGCGACAUCACUAGGGGCGCGGCCCGAGGAGUCCCUCGCGCGCGGCGCUGACCCGCGCUGGAGAGGAGGGCGGGGUGCGUGGGUCUCCGCACACUUGAGCCACUGAGUGCGAGAGCGAGACUGCGGAGGUCUUUGUUCUUUGGAGAAAAAGCCCUUGAACUUGGUCCUCGUCUUGCCGGGUACAGGACUCCCCAGCAAGAAGCUAGGGGAGAAACUUGGUGCCUGAGGUUGCUGAUGGGAUUCUGGCCCAAAUCACUCACUGCGUUCGAGGUCUUGGCAAGCUUCUGCCGCGGCCAGAGUUAAAUCUGAAUGAAUUUACAAUUUAUUCAGGUCACUGUUUUGUUUGGUGUCUUGGGCCCCACUGGUACCUGGGUCACACAACAAGCUGCAGGUAGCUAAGCCCUUAUUAAAACACACACACACACACACACACACACACACACACACAAUCACUAGCUUUAGAAAUUUUAGAGAAAACCAUAUAUAUGGUUGCUUUCAACAUAUGGUUGCUUUUCUAGUUCAAAUAAUCAGGGCGCAUAAGAAAAAAAUCUUCGGCAUGCACUUUGGUUUGGGGAAGAAGGGUGUGUGCUUAAAUUCAUUUGCCUAUGCUAUCACUCUUCAGAUCCCCUGAGAGUUCAGUGUGCUGUGGUGCAAGACUCUAAAGAACCUGCGGUUAUGAAGCAUCUGACCACAUUCAAAACAGUGUAUUAACCUGUUUCGCAAUACUGAGCUCUAAAGUUUUUCAGACGGCAAGGUCUCUUCUUCAGGGAAACAACAAAUGGCAGCUGGUGAAACCAGGUCCUCGGCCUUAAGAAGCAGCUCUCUGCUCUGUUCCUUGCUGAGAUGUCAAAGAAGCCCUGUCCUGAGGACCCAGUGACAAAAUGCCUGGUACUACUGGAGACAAUUCUCAUUCCAACUGUCACAUUACCAAAGGACACGGGAGUUCUGUAGUGAGCCAUCUCUGAG